AUGCAGUCGAACGAUGAGUCUCUAGCUUGCUAGAGAUGAUUAGUGGCGGACGGGUGAGUAACAUUUAGGAAUCUACCUAGUAGUGGGGGAUAGCUCGGGGAAACUCGAAUUAAUACCGCAUACGACCUACGGGUGAAAGGGGGCGCAAGCUCUUGCUAUUAGAUGAGCCUAAAUCAGAUUAGCUAGUUGGUGGGGUAAAGGCCCACCAAGGCGACGAUCUGUAACUGGUCUGAGAGGAUGAUCAGUCACACCGGAACUGAGACACGGUCCGGACUCCUACGGGAGGCAGCAGUGGGGAAUAUUGGACAAUGGGGGCAACCCUGAUCCAGCCAUGCCGCGUGUGUGAAGAAGGCCUUUUGGUUGUAAAGCACUUUAAGCAGGGAGGAGAGGCUAAUGGUUAAUACCCAUUAGAUUAGACGUUACCUGCAGAAUAAGCACCGGCUAACUCUGUGCCAGCAGCCGCGGUAAUACAGAGGGUGCGAGCGUUAAUCGGAAUUAGUGGGCGUAAAGCGAGUGUAGGUGGCUCAUUAAGUCACAUGUGAAAUCCCCGGGCUUAACCUGGGAACUGCAUGUGAUACUGGUGGUGCUAGAAUAUGUGAGAGGGAAGUAGAAAUUCCA
rnacentral:rRNA from 1 species